rnacentral:rRNA from 1 species
UUCCUUGGGAUCCGUGCCGGGGGUAACGCAUUAAGUACCCCGCCUGGGGAGUACGGCCGCAAGGCUAAAACUCAAAGGAAUUGACGGGGGCCCGCACAAGCGGCGGAGCAUGUGGAUUAAUUCGAUGCAACGCGAAGAACCUUACCUGGGUUUGACAUGCACAGGACGCGUCUAGAGAUAGGCGUUCCCUUGUGCCCCCCGUGCAGGUGGUG